UACGAAGGGGGCUAGCGUUGCUCGGAAUUACUGGGCGUAAAGCGUGCGCAGGCGGUUCGUUGUGUCGGCGGUGAAAGCCCCGGGCUUAACCGUGGGAAUGGCCGUUGAAACUGGCGAACUGGAGUGUGGCAGAGGGGGUGGAAUUCCGGCGUGUAGCAGUGAAAUGCGUAGAGAUGCGGAGGAACACCGAUGGCGAAGGCAGCCCCCUGGGCUAACACUGACGCUCAGGCACGAAAGCGUGGGGAGCAAACAGG
rnacentral:rRNA from 1 species